CUCCUUUGACGUUAGCGGCGGACGGGUGAGUAACACGUGGGUAACCUACCUAUAAGACUGGGAUAACUUCGGGAAACCGAAGCUAAUACCGGAUAAUAUUUCGAACCGCAUGGUUCGAUAGUGAAAGGUGGUUUUGCUAUCACUUAUAGAUGGACCCGCGCCGUAUUAGCUAGUUGGUAAGGUAACGGCUUACCAAGGCGACGAUACGUAGCCGACCUGAGAGGGUGAUCGGCCACACUGGAACUGAGACACGGUCCAGACUCCUACGGGAGGCAGCAGCC
rnacentral:rRNA from 1 species